rnacentral:rRNA from 1 species
CCUACGGGUGGCUGCAGUGGGGAAUUUUCCGCAAUGGGCGAAAGCCUGACGGAGCAAUACCGCGUGAGGGAGGAAGGCUCUUGGGUUGUAAACCUCUUUUCUCAAGGAAUAAAAAGUUGAAGGUACUUGAGGAAUAAGCAUCGGCUAACUCCGUGCCAGCAGCCGCGGUAAUACGGAGGAUGCAAGCGUUAUCCGGAAUAAUUGGGCGUAAAGGGUCCGCAGGUGGUGUUAAAAGUCUGUUGUCAAAGAAUCUGGCUUAACCAGGUAAAGGCAAU